AAUGGGCGGGAGCCUGAACCAGCCAAGUCGCGUGAAGGAAGAAGGAUCUAUGGUUCGUAAACUUCUUUUGCAGGGGAAUAAAGUGCAGGACGUGUCCUGUUUUGUAUGUACCCUGAGAAUAAGGAUCGGCUAACUCCGUGCCAGCAGCCGCGGUAAUACGGAGGAUCCGAGCGUUAUCCGGAUUUAUUGGGUUUAAAGGGUGCGUAGGUGGUUUGAUAAGUCAGCGGUGAAAGUUUGCAGCUUAACUGUAAAAAUGCCGUUGAAACUGUCGGACUUGAGUGUAAAUGAGGUAGGCGGAAUGCGUGGUGUAGCGGUGAAAUGCAUAGAUAUCACGAAGAACUCCAAUUGCGAAGGCAGCUCACUGGGGUACAACUGACACUGAGGCUCGAAAGUGUGGGUAUCAAA
rnacentral:rRNA from 1 species